rnacentral:rRNA from 1 species
GACGAACCGUGCGAACGUUGUUCGGAUUCACUGGGCUUAAAGGGCGCGUAGGCGGGCAAGCAAGUCCGGGGUGAAAUCUUUCGGCUUAACCGGAAAAGUGCCUUGGAUACUGCUUGUCUCGAGGGAGGUAGGGGUCUGCGGAACUUCCGGUGGAGCGGUGAAAUGCGUUGAUAUCGGAAGGAACGCCGGUGGCGAAAGCGGCGGACUGGACCUCUUCUGACGCUGAGGCGCGAAAGCCAGGGGAGCAAACGG